GUUGGUGGAGCCAGGUAUAGCAAAGUUGAUAUUGUGAUGAAUGUAGGCAAUGGAUUGUGCGUGCUGGCUGGCAUGUACUGUGCCAGUGGGUUUCGGCGGACAGUUGUUUGUGACACUGGGACAACUGUGGGCCAUGAUUGACACAUGACCAACAAGGCGUGGCAUGGUCCCCAUCCGAAUUUGCAUGGAUCCAUUCAUGCCUUGCUAGUCGCUUCUGCUGCGAGGAUAGAAUCCUUGGGGCAUAACCUGUUUGCGAUAUGAUGAAGUAUUUUCAUAUUUUGGUGCUGCCUGGUUUAUCAUACCUGUCUGCAAAGACAUGGGAUUCAUUUUUCAUUAUUUCUGUUUGCUUCUCUGUAACAGAGAUGAGGAGCUUCUUUGUCAAGGACUUGCUCUUAAUGAUGACUUGCA
rnacentral:lncRNA from 1 species